GAUGAACGCUAGCGGCAGGCUUAAUACAUGCAAGUUGAGGGGCAGCAUGAUAUACGCGAGUAUAUUGAUGGCGACCGGCGGACGGGUGAGUAAUAGGUAGGAGACCUACCUCAUACAGGGGGAUAGCAUAGAGAAAUCUGUGGUAAUACCCCCAUGAGGUUAUAUGAAUAGAGGCAUAUAAUCAAAGCAUAAGCGAUUAUGCGGUAUGAGAGGGGCCUACUGACCAUUAGCUAGUUGGUGAGGUAAGGGCUCACCAAGGCGAAGAUGGUUAGGGGUUUUGAGAGAGAGACCCCCCACAUUGGAACUGAGAGACGGUCCAGACUCCUACGGGAGGCAGCAGUAGGGAAUAUUGGGCAAUGGGCGAAAGCCUGACCCAGCCAUGCCGCGUGAAGGAAGACGGCCUUAUGGGUUGUAAACUUCUUACUACGCGAAUAGAGGUUAGUACGAGAUACUAAUAGGAAGGUAGUGUAGUAAAAAGCAACCGGCUAACUCCGUG
rnacentral:rRNA from 1 species